rnacentral:rRNA from 1 species
AUUGAACGCUGGCGGCAGGCCUAACACAUGCAAGUCGAACGAGUGGCGGACGGGUGAGUAAUGUCUGGGAAACUGCCUGAUGGAGGGGGAUAACUACUGGAAACGGUAGCUAAUACCGCAUACCAUCGGAUGUGCCCAGAGGGGAUUAGCUAGUUGGUAGGGUAAUUGCUGACCAAGGCGAAGAUACAUAGCCGACCUGAGAGGGUGACCUGCCACACUGGAACUGAUAAACGGUCCAGACUCCUACGUGAGGCAGCAGUGGGGAAUAUUGCACAAUGGGCGCAAGCCUGAUGAAGCCAUGCCGCGUGUAUGAAGAAGGCCGUCGGGUUGUAAAGUACUUUCAGCGGGGAGGCGUUACCCGCAGAAGAAGCACCGGCUAACUCCGUGCCAGCAGCCGCGGUAAUUC